GACAGAGGGUGCAACCGUUGCUCGGAAUUACUGGGCGUAAAGCGCGUGUAGGCGGGCAUGCAAGUCGAGUGUGAAAUCCCUGGGCUCAACCCAGGAACUGCAUUCGAAACUGCAUGUCUAGAGUGUCGGAGAGGGAAGCGGAAUUCCUGGUGUAGAGGUGAAAUUCGUAGAUAUCAGGAGGAACACCGGUGGCGAAGGCGGCUUCCUGGACGAUUACUGACGCUGAGACGCGAAAGCGUGGGGAGCAAACAGG
rnacentral:rRNA from 1 species